CCUGAUGGCUCAGAUGGUAAAGCAUCUGCCUGCAAUGUGGGAGACCUGGGUUCGAUUCCUGGGUCAGGA
rnacentral:tRNA from 1 species